UGUCUUUUUAGGGCCACACUCAUGGCAUGUGGAGGUUCCCAGGCUAGGGGUCCAAUCCUAGCUGUAGCCACCAGCCUACACCAGAGCCACAUCAAUGCAGGAUCUGAGUUGCAUCUGUGACCUACACCACAGCUCAUGGCAAUGCCAGAUCCCUAACCCACUGAGCGAGGCCAGGGAUUGAACCUUCAUCCUCAUGGAUGCUAGUCGGGUUUGCUAACCUCUGAGCCACAACAGUAACUCCUCUUUUUGGUUUUUGUUUUGUUUUUUAAUUUAUUUUUUAUUAACGUAUAGUUAACUUAUAGUGUUGUGCCAAUUUCUGCUGUAUAGCAGAGUGACCCAAUCAUACAUAUGUGCAUAUAUAUAUUCCCCUUCUUAUAUUUCUGUCGUGGUCUAUCUCAAGAGACUGGAUAUGGUUCCCUGUGCUGUACAUCCUACUACUGGAAUAUGUCCAGUGUUUUCCUCAUGAUACAACUGGAGUUGCGGGUGAUUGGGAAGAAGACCACAAAAGCAAAGACCAUUUCUGUUACAUCACCUCAAGGGCACUCCGUGAACAUGACUCAUCCCUGUUAGUGUUGGCCUUUUGAUAGCCCAGCUGAGGAGAUGACUGUCAGGUCUCUUCACUGCAAAGGGCCUCCUCCUAUCUGUGUACCAGGGCACACUUUGGAAGGAAGUCUGAGGGACCCACUAAACAUGGUUCCAUGUGGAAUCCUCUGGUUUCUCCUCCCCACAUCAGCCAGGCCAGCCUCCCUUCAGUGCACGAACUAUAUUAAAAUGGGAGUUUGGCCAUUUCCCUGGCAAUUUGAGCCAAUUUCAAAGCUGUCUAAAUUGCCUCAAAAUGUCUUUUCUUCCACCCAAUUAAGGAACGUUCCUGUCUUCCGCAAAGCAUGACCUUGACUUCUGACCUCACAAGGUGAGCGGUAGGAUGAUUGUACACCUGCAAGCACAUUCUUGAUGGGGCCAACCCUUCUGGCUGCUACAACUGCUCAAUUCCAAAUCAAUUUACAUGGAUCAACUGAAGAAUGGACUCCAAUUUCCCAGAUCAAACUUCCUUCCAAGCAGGGAUGUCACUACGACUGGUCAAGUCAGGGUGGGCUUCCAACUCAAGGUGAUGAAUGGAUCAGGCUAGGCUAGGUGUAUGCUGCUAUAAGACACAACCCCCAAACUGCAGCAACCUAAUGUUUCUUUCUCACUCAUGCAAAGUCCGUUGUAGGUCUGCUGGCUUUCAGUGAUAACUCCGCUUGAUCAGAGACAGAGUAAUCCAGGCUUCGUUAAUCCCAUGUCUCCAGACACAUCUCCUGGCCCCGUGAUCCCCUCUCAAGGGGAAGAGAUAGCAAAAAGUCACAUGGUCUCUUCAGGGCCUCGCCUUGGCACUUGCACUCCCAAUCCAUUUUCAGAACAUACCACAGGCCCCACCUCUCUGCAAGUGGGCUGCAUUCUGAGAAUGCUUGCAUUAUAGGCUCAAGUCCACCCUUUUAUACAUAAAUCAUAUUUUUCCUUUAGGGGCCAAAUUCUGUGGCUGACACAUAGCCCUCUCAAACUUCUUCCCAGGUUUCCCACCAAAGUGCACAGAGCCAAGUAAGCCAAAUGUUGCUAUAUCUCAAUAACAUUUAUCUUCGCUUCACAUUGAUUUUUCGCCCUUGGUUAUAAUGUAACCCAUUGUUACAAUGGUCAGAAAUGGGUCAUGUCCAGUGUGGCUUUUGCCCAAGACUUAAUCUUACUUGGUCAAAUCUUGUUCUUGGCUCACUUCAUUUUUUUCAGUUGUAAAAAUACAAAACAUUCUGCAGUCUUUUUUUUUUUUUUUCAUGUCUCGUUAGUUUAUCCACAUGGGCACAUUGAGGCAUCCUUCCCCCUAAAUUUUCAAACUUAACUCUUUUUAUUUCUACUCCCCAAACUUGAUGGUUUUCUCCCCCUCACUCCUUCCAGAAAUGCCCAUCUGGCCACUCAAUGUGGGCUCACCUGGGUUGUCAUCGCUUCACCAAUCUGGACCUCAGUUUCUUCAUCUGUAAAACGGGAGGUUAGAAUGAGCCGUCCUUCCAUGUCUGAUGCUCUUGCAGUUUAGGCAAGACAUUUUCUCUUGUCUCUUUUGGCAUCUGCCUCGUCAGGAUGUUGACCCUUUUAAGUCAUGGGAUGUGUUCAUAAGGCAAUUAAAAUCAGAUAUGUUUUAAAACAGAAAAUAAAUAAACCCUAUGCAUUAAACCUUAGAUUUGAAACCUCUCCUUUUAACUUAGAAAUUUCACCUUCCUUUAAUAUGUUCAAACAAUUUUUCAUGAAUUGAAUCCUUUCGAACCUUUCCUUAAUUUACAUAACUCAUUAUAUAGUGUACUCUGGAAUUUAAGCAGUGUGGCAAAUCAUGAAGAGUAAAAAUAGAAAAUUCUCCUGAAAAGGAUAAUGGAGUUGAAUCUGUUUCUGUUCUGGUCAAUUUGCUAUACAGCAGAAAUUGACAGAAAAUUGUAAAUCAACCAUAAUACAAUUAAAAAAAAGAAAGAAAGAAAGAAAAAGGAGUUGAUUCCUAGGUAUUUUCCAGGCACGAUGUUCCUAAGAACUUAGUUACUUGAAGCCAGAACUAAAUAGAAUUAUUGAGUUGAUUUUUGAAGCUAAUGGCUACCUUCAGGGAUAGCUUAUAUUGGAAAUUUAAUCCUUCACUUCUUAAUAGGUGAGUUUCUUGAUUGUUUUAAAAUAUAACAAUAAUGUAAAAGAUUUUUUUUUCAGGAAAUGGGACCAAUCCUAACUUUGUCCCUUUCACAGCAAGUUUUUGUGUUCGCCAUUUCUUUUCAAGAUGGAACACUGAAGGAAAAAAAAAAUAGAUCUUUUUUCCCUCAGUUGCUGUGGUUAUUUAUUAAGCAGCAUCAACUCCUUAAAGCAUUUAGCCAAAUGUAAUGUUUCGGUCAAUGGCAAUAAAUGCAGUGACUUUCCAGGAAUGCAGGGAAUAUCCGUGGACACUUGUUAGGAAGUGGUUACUGGUCCAAUUAUCCUACUCUCCAGGAUUCUUUGCGAGCUUUGGUUAUAAUGAAGAUCACUACCAAUGAAUUCUACAGUGGUCUGGGCUUUUCAAAGACGGCAUAUGGAAAGUGGAUGGUGGGUAGACAUGGAAUAGAAAGAUACGUGGAAUAGCAUUUGCCC
rnacentral:lncRNA from 1 species